rnacentral:rRNA from 1 species
GAUGAACGCUGGCGGCGUGCCUAAUACAUGCAAGUCGAGCGAACAGACGAGGAGCUUGCUCCUCUGACGUUAGCGGCGGACGGGUGAGUAACACGUGGAUAACCUACCUAUAAGACUGGGAUAACUUCGGGAAACCGGAGCUAAUACCGGAUAAUAUAUUGAACCGCAUGGUUCAAUAGUGAAAGACGGUUUUGCUGUCACUUAUAGCUGGAUCCGCGCCGCAUUAGCUAGUUGGUAAGGUAACGGCUUACCAAGGCGACGAUGCGUAGCCGACCUGAGAGGGUGAUCAGCCACACUGGAACUGAGACACGGUCCAGACUCCUACGGGAGGCAGCAGUAGGGAAUCUUCCGCAAUGGGCGAAAGCCUGACGGAGCAACGCCGCGUGAGUGAUGAAGGUCUUCGGAUCGUAAAACUCUGUUAUUAGGGAAGAACAAAUGUGUAAGUAACUAUGCACGUCUUGACGGUACCUAAUCAGAAAGCCACGGCUAACUUCGUG